ACACCCCCCCCCCCCCCCCCCCAAUUCUUCAUCAGACUUUUGUUAAAAAGCUUGCAACUUUCACAUAAUACAACAAGAUUCGUAAAUGAUGGAAGAGAAAGAGAAAUUAGAUAGUUACAAAGUUGGAUCUUUGCCUACUGUAAUAUAUAUACCUGAUUUCAUCACAGAUAGUGAACAAAGCUUUCUUCUUAACAAUAUAUAUGGAGCCCCUGCAUCAAAGUGGAAGUUGUUGAAGAAUAGGAGGUUACAGAAUUGGGGUGGCGUUGUCCAUGAGAAGGGCCUUCUACCUCAACCAUUGCCUCCAUGGUUAACAAAUCUUACACAAAAGAUAUCAGAAGAAUCAAGACUAUUUCCGUCAGCAAUCAAUCAUGUUCUCAUCAAUGAGUACUUACCUAACCAAGGCAUAAUGCCACAUCAAGAUGGUCCAGCUUACUUUCCAGUUGUAGCUAUUCUUUCACUCGGAUCGCCUGUCGUCAUGGACUUUACACCUCAUUCUAGAUUUAAACUAGAUCCGCAAGAUGUUAAUGGCAAAGAUUCUGAUGGAGGAGAAGAUAAAAGGCUUGAUGAUGAUUACCUCCCAUUCUCUGUUCUGUUGAUGCCUCGCAGUCUACUGAUAUUCAAGGAUAAGGCAUACUCAGAUUAUUUGCAUGGUAUUAAAGAUUGUGCGGUACAAUGCUAUGAUGGGGCUGUAAAUGAAAUGGAAGCUUUGAAACACAAUGAAUCAGAUAGACCCUAUUUUGGCUCAGAGGAAUCAGUGGAAACAAUGGGGAAGGAAGAGAGAUUGGACUUUGGGGAAAAGCAGAAAUUGCCACACGUGUAUCAACCAACUGAAACUGACGUGUGAUUUUCCGCCGAAAAAAAGACAGAACUGGUGUUUACUUUGACAUGAAAGUGACACGUGGAGGAACUGUGGGAAGAGAAGUUGGAAUUCUUGGAGUCUUAAUUAAAGUGGUAUUGGUCAGAAGGACUUACACUGAAAGCCGGAAACUUUGUACAUUGGGGAUUUUCUUCUAGAUUAGAAUAGAUAUUUACAGAGAAGUUUUGUUAAGAAUUGAGGUUGACAAGAUUUCUGAAAGUUGUGGACUUGAUCUUUUAAAUUUCAGUCGAUGUUUGAACUGAACCCUGUUAUGUGCCAAUAUCCCAUUUAUUUUUUACUCCUAUCCACAUAUUUAAAUUACAUUACUGUCCUCCAGUGCUGACAUCUCUAAGUUGUUUCUGCAUUCAAAACUGUUAAAUGGAUGAACAGAAUAAAGUGGUUAAUAAGAAACAGUCAUAAUAUUUUCAAAAUAAGUGAGUUGAAAUGGUUGAGAUACGUGAGGGCACUGUAUGGACUUUAUAUAAGGUCAUUAAAGAUUGGAUUAUUUUUAUACCUUUUUUAUGGGACAAAUUUGGCCUAAUUGUGAAUUAAUUUUUUUUCGUUGACAGUCCAAAGGCAAAGUGUACCAUCUGUCCACUAAUCAAUCAGCCUGUUUGAUUUCUGUCUGUCAAAUCCAAUUGAGCAUGUUGAUUUUGAUUUUAUUGAUUUCGGAACCUCAAUAGAGAUAUAGGUUUGAUGUCUUAAAUUUUUUGU